GGAUCAAUACUAAGCGUCCAGUUCUAACCAUGUCUUUCCUUGCGCUGUGUCAUACCGUCUCCAAUAUUCUCAUACUUCUCCGUGCACUCGUGAUACUUUACCACGGUCUCCAACGUAACGAACGUAAUCCGACUCCACCCAGCCCAAACGCACCCCAUUAGCGAACGAGCGUGUCGAUGAGCUGCAAAUGACGAUGCGACAUAACGGUGGUCGCAAUGCAAUAAAAUCACUCCCCGAGGGCUCCGUACGACGACGCAAUGCGUGAAAAGCAAACCAAAUCAUCCCCGCAGGCACACUCACAUAAAACAGUGCUGCCCCCCCAGUUUCGAAGCGUGUCCAUGUCGUAAGCCUAAUAGGGAUUGUGUUACCUUCUCCUUGGCCUGCCCAAAUGCCAGAGGUGGCGCUACGAGGUUGUCUGGGAUGGAAAGCUCACCCUGCAGCAGGUGGAAAUAUAGUUUGAAAAAAUAGCGGAGAAAACUGAUCUUCUUGUCAAGUGUGACGAAACUGCGACCAGUCGCGAUCCUAUGGUGCCAUUUUGUUUUGACUCCAGACCGACGCAUGCCGAACGCUUAUUUAUUUCAAACCCCGCGAGCAGGACCCAGUGUAUCGUAAAUUUGCUUUAUAGCAUCAAUUAACGUGAAAUAAAAUAUUAUUUAAUUUCUCCGCCCAAACAA